UUUAAAGUCUAAUCUGCCCAAUGAUUAAUUAAAUGGCUGCGGUAUUUUGACCGUACAAAGGUAGCAUAAUAAUUAGUUUUUUAAUUGAAAGCUGGAAUGAAUGAUUGGACGAGAAAAUUUCUGUCUCAAUUUAAUUUUAUUAGAAUUUUAUUUUUAAGUAAGAAAGCUUAAAUAUUUUUGAAAGACGAGAAGACCCUAUAGAGUUUUAUAAAUUAUUUUAUAUUAAUUUUUUAGAUUUGUUUUUAUUUUUUAUAUUUUAUUAUAUUUUAUUGGGGCGAUAGAAAAAUUGGUAUAACUUUUUUUUUAUUUAUUAUCAUUAAUAUAUGUUAAAUUGAUCCAUUUUUUAUGAUUAUAAGAUAAAAUUACCUUAGGGAUAACAGCGUAAUUUUUUUUUAGAGUUCUUAUCGAAUGAAAAGAUUGCGACCUCGAUGUUGGAUUAAAAUAUAUAUUUGGUGUAGAAGCUAAGUAAUUAGGUCUGUUCGACCUUUAAAAUUUUACA
rnacentral:rRNA from 1 species